GUCCACACAGUAAACGAUGAAUACUCGCUGUUUGCGAUAUACAGUAAGCGGCCAAGCGAAAGCAUUAAGUAUUCCACCUGGGGAGUACGCCGGCAACGGUGAAACUCAAAGGAAUUGACGGGGGCCCGCACAAGCGGAGGAACAUGUGGUUUAAUUCGAUGAUACGCGAGGAACCUUACCCGGGCUUGAAUUGCAGAGGAAUAUAGUUGAAAGAUUAUAGCCGCAAGGUCUCUGUGAAGGUGCUGCAUGGUUGUCGU
rnacentral:rRNA from 1 species